rnacentral:rRNA from 1 species
GGCGAACGCUGGCGGCGUGCUUGACACAUGCAAGUGGAGCGACGAACCAGGGCUUGCCCUGGGGCAGAGCCGCGAACGGGUGAGUAACACGUGGGUAACGUGCCCCAAUGAUCGGGACAACCCGGGGAAACCCGGGCUAAUACCGGAUGUGCUUCCCUCACACCAGUGAGGGAUGGAAAGGAAGCUUCGGCCUCCGCAUUGGGAUCGGCCCGCGGCCCAUUAGCUUGUUGGUGAGGUAACGGCUCACCAAGGCUGCGAUGGGUAGCUGGUCUGAGAGGACGAUCAGCCACACUGGGACUGAGACACGGCCCAGACUCCUACGGGAGGCAGCAGUGGGGAAUUUUUCGCAAUGGGGGAAACCCUGACGAAGCAACGCCGCGUGGAGGAUGAAGGCCUUCGGGUCGUAAACUCCUGUCGACCGGGAAGAAUGCACCUGACCUAAUACGUCGGAGUGUUGACUGUACCGGUGGAGGAAGCCACGGCUAACUCUGUGCCAGCCGCCGCCGUAACAC